AAACUUUUUAGUGGCACAGAGGCAGCCACCAUCUUUUUUAAUGUCACACAGAGAAAAACCUCUCACCCCGUCGCUGCACCGCCGCUACUCCUGAGAGAUCGAGACGUCGCCUCCUUCUCCGUCCACCGUCUCUCGUCUCCACCUCCCCAAUCCCACCACCGCUUCCUCCCCUCCCCUCCCGCUGUAGUCGAGCAUCUCCCCCCCUCCCCAUCUCCAAAGCCGACGCAUCUACUUCCAAUCUGAUUCUCCACCGCUGAGGAGAGGUAAGAGUGGGGCGUCGAUGAGGCGGAUGAAGGAGCGGAAGGCCCCGUGAGUUGGGGUCUUGCCGGCGGAAUAUUCCAUGAGUUAUCGGCGUGGGAUGAUUAAUCCAAUAAUUAGAUGGGGUGUGAGAAUAACCUUUUCUAAUUAUAGUUGUGUUGAUCAACUCCUUGACAAAUGAUGUUUGGUGACCUUUUAAUCACAUAUAUCAUUUUAAGUUUUAGUCCUGACUCUUGGAGUGCUGGAAGUAAAAAUUAUGCAUGGAUCUCUUAUGAGAGUUUGGAUAUAGAAUCUCUUUGUGAUUUCCAGUGUUAAAUCUGGGAUUCCACUGGCCAAUAGAGGAACUGCUUCCAUCGUUUCGUCAUCUCUAAUCUACAGAGGCACUUAUCACCAUCCCCUGCUACUGCUCUCUUAUUAAGCAACUUAGUUUUACUCUUCCUCUAAUUAUCUUAGAUUGAUUAUUUGGUACAAACUUUCAGACUGCAUAAUCGUGUCCAUUUUAUCCAGGCUGCUAUGAUUUCCAACCGGUUUAGAACAUUCCAGAAUUACCUAAUUUUACUCUUAAGCGAUAAAAAAGAGAAUGCUCAGUGUUAACAAAAAAAAGGAUUGUAAAGCAGUUUCAAUAGAUCGAACUUACAAUUUUUCAUCCAACAUUUGUAAGUUUGUUGUACGUAGUACCAUAAUAAUUGAGGUUAUACAGAUAUACUGAAUGUGUAGAGCCAGUUGCAUUAUAUAGAAUUUUCUUCCUCUCAAUAGUCAUAUCUUUAGAUAGGAUUCUUCUGAACAAAGAAAGGUGUAGUUCAUAAUGUGAUCUAGAUUCUAUUAAGAAAUAAUUAAUCAUGUUGAAUUCAAGUUGUGGCAUGUUAAUUGCUUCUGCAUGUUUUCACUAGCUAUAGUAUAUCACAGGGUUUACUGCUUCUUAUAAAAGGAUGAUGAAGACACUGAACAAAAUGGAGUUUGAAGUGAAGGAUUCAGUGGUCUGGCAAAAGUAUUUCACGGCUACAACAAAUAGCAUAGUACUGAAAGGUGAACUAUGCAUAUGGGGCUUAAAGAAAGAUAUUAUGAUUCUCUUAAUACCAUUGGAUGACCUUUCUUUGGUCAUCCCGUCAAAAGAUGGAUUCAGAGCAGUGAGAGAAUUUUCUGUAGCUAGAGAUGCUAAUAUUAACUUGAGCAGUCUGGCAAACGCUUUCCUAAUUUCCCGCCAACAGAUUUUGUGCACUCUUGGCUAAAUCGCAUUGAAAUUCUUGGCCCGUAUAUAUUCUAACAGAAAACGUUUUCUCCCUCAGUCUUUGUGAUGCAUUGAAUUGAACAGGAACUGAGAAGUAAUCCAGGUUGUAGCUUCUUCAGGCCACCUUUCAAUAACUGAACUUGAAAUAGAGCUGAGAAGGUCAUCAAAUUUUUCUUUAUAUUUGGCAUUAUCAUGGAUCAAUACUCAAAGGGAGAGAGCAUAUUUCACUUACUUUCCAUUGUUAACUCCUUUUCCGCUCCAUCGAACAAAUAUUGUUGUUAUUUCAGUGUCUUUCCAAUCCAAAUUAUUCUCUCCA